CUUGUACUCCCUCCGUCUGAAAAUACUUGUCAUUGAAAUGGAUGUAUCUAGAUGUAUUUUAGUUCUAGACACAUCCAUUUUGAUGACAAGUAAUUCCGGAUGGAGGGAGUACUUG
rnacentral:pre_miRNA from 1 species